UAGGGUGGUUAUAGCGGUGGGGCUCACCUGUUCCCAUUCCGAACACAGAAGUUAAGCCCACCAGCGCCGAUGGUACUGCUAACGCGGGAGAGUAGGUCGCCGCCAGUU
rfam:Elizabethkingia anophelis NTHP1, complete genome.